CCAAUAAAAAGAUUCCCUGGAAAUCCCCUACAACCUCCCACAAGAAGAGGGUAUAAAUAUCGCGACGGACACAUAUCGCGUUAGAAACCCGCUGCAAUUCUGCUGCAAAUAGAACGACCUUAGUAGACUGUCGACUAUAAUUUACUAAAGUCUUUGUGUAACUUUGUGACUUUAUCCAGCAAGCAAGUUAUUUGCUUAUAAAAUGGACCCAAAUCAAGCCAACCGCACUAACCAGUGCAAUCCAACUCAUACUCCAACUGGGCCUGGACAUCAGGCAGGCUAUAAAGGGUCAGCAACAAAAGCUGAUCUUGAUAAUCAUAGCAACCAACUGAAUCCAAAUCAUCCACAAUAUAAAAAGUAAAAGCAUAUAUAUUUCACAGAAUAUCGAUGGCAUUGUAUUUUACAAGUAAUGUACAUGCUCAAAUUAUGAUAUAAAUGAAUAUGUAAUCAGAAA
rnacentral:lncRNA from 1 species